UGGCAACCCAGCUCUGCUCCCCUCGCUGAGCCUCUCAGCCCCCGCAGAGAGGGAGGGGACAGCCUAACCCAGAGAAAGGGAGGGGAGGCUGAGAACUAUGGAACGGGACCAAAGGGGUCUCCCAAACAAAGAGACCCCAGACAAAGAGACCCCCCAGACAAAAGCCACUGAGGAGGAGGCCCGGUCGAAAGCAGCGUUCGCUGGCUGCUGCCAAGAGCUUAGAGAUGAGUUCAUCCUGCCUAACAGAGGACAAGAAACCUUGAAGAUUAUGGAAAACAUGUUUGGGUCGUGUAUAAAUGACAUCACCUGCACGGUUGCACCUGACCUGUGUGUUGCUUUCAUGCCAAGUGAAAGCCCCAAGGCCAGUACUAACAUUUCUUGGCAAUUUGGAUCGACCUGAGCCAGGAAGAACUGAGUCAUCACCGGGCUCACCAUGCAGUACAACAUUGUACCUUGUUCAAAGGAAACUAGCAUGGGGCGGAGUUCAUGUUGCAGCUGCAACUCUGUUUCAGAAAAACAAUGCUAUCCAAGUUGCCUUUGGUUUGUGUUAACUGCUGCUCUGUUGGGGGCUUUGUCACGGUUUAAUUGCUUAAGGUAUUUAGAACUCAUUGCUAACUGAUUUUGCAAGCGUUCACUCGUGAUUAAAAAUAUGGUUUCAGUCA